GACGUAGGGCGCGAGCGUUGUCCGGAUUUACUGGGCGUAAAGGGCGCGUAGGCGGGAUGGCAAGUCGGUCGUGAAAUCCCUCGGCUCAACCGAGGAACGUCGAUCGAUACUGCUGUUCUUGAGGAUUGCAGAGGAGACUGGAAUUCCCGGGUGUAGCGGUGAGAUGUGUAGAGAUCGGGAGGAACACCGGUGGCGAAGGCGGGUCUCUGGGCAAUUCCUGACGCUGAGGCGCGAAAGCGUGGGGAGCAAACGGG
rnacentral:rRNA from 1 species